UGAGGAAUAUUGGUCAAUGGGCGAGAGCCUGAACCAGCCAAGUAGUGUGCAGGAUGACGGCCCUAUGGGUUGUAAACUGCUUUUAUAUGGGAAUAAAGUGAGGGACGUGUCCCUUAUUGCAUGUACCAUAUGAAUAAGGACCGGCUAAUUCCGUGCCAGCAGCCGCGGUAAUACGGAAGGUUCGGGCGUUAUCCGGAUUUAUUGGGUUUAAAGGGAGCGUAGGCCGUUUGGUAAGCGUGUUGUGAAAUGUAGGAGCUCAACUUCUAGAUUGCAGCGCGAACUGUCAGACUUGAGUGCGCACAACGUAGGCGGAAUUCAUGGUGUAGCGGUGAAAUGCUUGAAUAUCAUGAAGAACUCCGAUUGCGAAGGCAGCUUACGGGAGCGCAACUGACGCUGAAGCUCGAAGGUGCGGGUAUCGAACAGG
rnacentral:rRNA from 1 species